rnacentral:misc_RNA from 1 species
GAUGAAGAACGUAGCGAAAUGCGAUACUUGGUGUGAAUUGCAGAAUCCCGUGAACCAUCGAGUCUUUGAACGCAAGUUGCGCCCGAAGCCACUAGGCCGAGGGCACGCCUGCCUGGGCGUCACACGCCGUUGCCCCCCCAUCUACUCCUUCGGGAUUGCGGGGGGGCGGAUGAUGGCCUCCCGUGCGCCUAGCCGCGCGGUUGGCAUAAAUACCAAGUCCUCGGCGACGCACGCCACGACAGUCGGUGGUUGCGAAACCUCGGUUGCCCGUCGUGUGCGUUCGUCGCGCAUCGAGGGCUCGAAAAAAUGCUCGGCUCCGGCUGGGCUUUCAACGCGACCCCAGGUCAGGCGGGGUUACCCGCUGAAUUUAAGCAUAUCAAUAAGCGGAGGA